rnacentral:rRNA from 1 species
UAGGGAAUCUUCGGCAAUGGACGGAAGUCUGACCGAGCAACGCCGCGUGAGUGAAGAAGGUUUUCGGACCGUAAAGCUCUGUUGUAAGAGAAGAACGAGUGUGAGAGUGGAAAGUUCACACUGUGACGGUAUCUUACCAGAAAGGGACGGCUAACUACGUGCCAGCAGCCGCGGUAAUACGUAGGUCCCGAGCGUUGUCCGGAUUUAUUGGGCGUAAAGCGAGCGCAGGCGGUUAGAUAAGUCUGAAGUUAAAGGCUGUGGCUUAACCAUAGUAGGCUUUGGAAACUGUUUAACUUGAGUGCAAGAGGGGAGAGUGGAAUUCCAUGUGUAGCGGUGAAAUGCGUAGAUAUAUGGAGGAACACCGGUGGCGAAAGCGGCUCUCUGGCUUGUAACUGACGCUGAGGCUCGAAAGCGUGGGGAGCAAACAGGAUUAGAUACCCUGGUAGUCCACGCUGUAAACGAUGAGUGCUAGGUGUUAGACCCUUUCCGGGGUUUAGUGCCGUAGCUAACGCAUUAAGCACUCCGCCUGGGGAGUACGACCGCAAGGUU